AAAAAAAAAAAAAAAAAAAAAGAAGAAAAAGAUUUAGCCGUCCGAUUCCAAUUCCGACUUGGGUGUACGUUGGAGGAGAUUUGGGUGAAGUUAUAAAAAUCCAGAAAGUAUCGGUAGGAGGUACGCAUGGCACCUCCGGGACAGGGGACGUCUCGGGAGAUAGAAAGACGGGCUGAAUGAGUGAACUGCAUCUGAUGUAUUAUAUGUAAAUUCUAACUAGAGAAAAACCUCCCGUUUUGGGAGUAUGUUUUUGUAAAUAUUUAUAAACUUGUUUUUUUGGAAAUAAUAAAAUGCUUAUAUAAUUAAUUUUAGCCUUAACACUGUGUUGUGGGGCCCGAAGUAGGAGGUGACGACCUCAUGAUGCAGUGUGGCGGUAGCAUUUCUAGUAUGAGCCAACUGGGGGUGUUACAAUGUGGUUGGAGAACGACCAUUUUCGAUUCGAAAUAUUCACUUGAUGACGGUAACCAAUGAUGUGUUCAUCAUGGUAGUCUUCAUGUGACACCAAAAAUUGUCAGAAAAAAUAAACAACACGUAUUUGUUAU